GAUGAACGCUCGCUACAGGCUUAACACAUGCAAGUCGCGGGGCAGCAUGGGGGUUGCUUGCAAUCCCCGAUGGCGACCGGCGCACGGGUGAGUAACGCGUAUUCAACCUGCCCUUCACCACGGGAUAACCCGGCGAAAGUCGGACUAAUACCGUAUGUUGUCCAUUGACGGCAUCCGAUUUGGACGAAAGGCUUGGCGGUGAGGGAUGGGGAUGCGUCCGAUUAGCCAGACGGCGGGGUGACGGCCCACCGUGGCUACGAUCGGUAGGGGUUCUGAGAGGAAGGUCCCCCACACUGGAACUGAGACACGGUCCAGACUCCUACGGGAGGCAGCAGUGAGGAAUAUUGGUCAAUGGGCGUAAGCCUGAACCAGCCAAGUAGCGUGCAGGAUGACGGCCCUAUGGGUUGUAAACUGCUUUUAUGCGGGGAUAAAGUGGCCCACGUGUGGGCUUUUGCAGGUACCGCAUGAAUAAGGACCGGCUAAUUCCGUG
rnacentral:rRNA from 1 species